GAAAUGCGAUAAGUAAUGUGAAUUGCAGAAUUCAGUGAAUCAUCGAAUCUUUGAACGCACAUUGCGCCCGGCAGCAAUCUGCCGGGCAUGCCUGUCCGAGCGUCAUUUCUGCCCUCGAGCGCGGUUCGGCCCCUAGCGGGCCGCGCCGCCGCCCGGUGUUGGGGAUCUGCGGGCUCCCGCCCGCAGGCCCUGAAAAGAAGUGGCGGUCCCGCCGCGGCGCCCCCUGCGUAGUAGUAAAGCACCGCGCAUCGGGUCCCGGCGAAGGCCAGCCGUCGAACCUAUCUCCUAGAUGUUUGACCUCGGAUCAGGUAGGGAUACCCGCUGAACUUAAGC
rnacentral:misc_RNA from 1 species